rnacentral:rRNA from 1 species
CCUACGGGAUGCAGCAGUGGGGGAUAUUGCACAAUGGGGGGAACCCUGAUGCAGCGACGCCGCGUGGGGGAAGAAGCGCCUCGGCGCGUAAAGCCCUGUCAGCAGGGAAGAAAAUGACGGUACCUGAAGAAGAAGCCCCGGCUAACUACGUGCCAGCAGCCGCGGUAAUACGUAGGGGGCAAGCGUUAUCCGGAUUUACUGGGUGUAAAGGGGGCGCAGACGGCGAUGCAAGCCAGGGGUGAAAGCCCGGGGCCCAACCCCGGGACUGCUCGUGGAACUGCGUGGCUAGAGUGCAGGAGGGGCAGGCGGAAUUCGUGGUGUAGCGGUGAAAUGCGUAGAUAUCAGGAGGAACACCGAUGGCGAAGGCGGCCUGCUGGACUGCAACUGACGUUGAGGCCCGAAAGCGUGGGGAGCAAACAGGAUUAGAUACCCCAGUAGUC